GUAGCGAAAUUCCUUGUCGGGUAAGUUCCGACCUGCACGAAUGGCGUAAUGAUGGCCACGCUGUCUCCACCCGAGACUCAGUGAAAUUGAAAUCGCUGUGAAGAUGCAGUGUACCCGCGGCUAGACGGAAAGACCCCGUGAACCUUUACUACAGCUUGGCACUGAACAUUGAACCUACAUGUGUAGGAUAGGUGGGAGGCUAUGAAGACGUGACGCCAGUUGCGUUGGAGCCGUCCUUGAAAUACCACCCUUGUAUGUUUGAUGUUCUAACUUAGACCCAUUAUCUGGGUUGAGGACAGUGCCUGGUGGGUAGUUUGACUGGGGCGGUCUCCUCCCAAAGAGUAACGGAGGAGCACGAAGGU
rnacentral:rRNA from 1 species